AGCGAGAUGGCGCAGCUGGUAGCGCGCUGGGCUCAUACUCGUGCAUGCAUCGCUGCGCACAAGCCACCCAGAGGUCGUCGGAUCGAAACUGACUCUCGCUA
rnacentral:tRNA from 1 species